AGCUAUCCUGGGCUCCACUGUGGCUUGAAGUUGGACAUGUGUGGAAGAAGCUCAUUUGUGGCUCCUCCUUGGAGAACAGUCUGCCAACACCUUGACACUGGUCUGGUUCGUUGAAGUAGAUUUCUGAUCUCUGAUUGCCAGAGCCCCGAAGAAGUUGACAAAGAGGAUCCGCAGAGGAGUGGCCCUCUCACGUCCUGCUGACCGCCGCAGUCCUGGCUGGGUUUUGUGGAUGUCACAUUCACCGUUGAGGACAAAGGCUCUAUUGCAGAUUGAGUUUGGGAUGAAGCAGCACAGAGAGUCUGGGUGUGUGAGCAUGCCUCCAGUCUUCCCGUGUGGGUUCUCCCAGACAAGGUACCAGAUAAACAGACUUCACCACCAGUUAGUAGCAAGAACCAUACAGGCCCCACAUUCUAAAGGUCCUACCUUCUGAAGACCCCACUGCAUCUCUGACUAUCACAGUGGGGACCAAGCACAGUUCACAGCCACCUGGGAGAAGCCACUUUGAACCAGCUCAGCUGAUAUCUCCAUAUCUUCUGAUAUAUUUUCCGUCAUCUUCAAGUGAACACACCGUCUGUGGUCUCUUCUGUGCCUUCUGCCUCCCUGUGUCAAAAUGGGGCUCUGUUAGAGAAAGUGAUGACUGGCUUUCCAGCGUAAACCUGCGGAGAGUGUCGCUGUCUUGCAAAAAACGAUGCAGCUUGAUCUAAAGUCCGCCCCUGCUUCACAGAAGGCAGAAGGUCAUCAUGGGGGUUACACUGUGCAAACGUGAGGACUCUGGAACUGGGUUUGCAGGUCACUGACAAAAAGCCCAUGGUAGAUCUUUUACAACAUGGCAAUAAAGGGAGGAACCCAAGGAGCUUGCUCCCCGUUUCCUUCUAGCAAAGCACUUUCCACGAUUCUGUUCAUCCUUGAGGUGCAUCACCAUACUCCUGAGCAUCAACAGACGGCAGGCUGCUGCCCACAUCUGUUACUUCAUCAUUCCUGGGGUUUGCUGUGUGCUACAUCUGCUGGGGUCCACAGGGCUUCCAUGGUACGCCUGUGUGAGGCCCAGAAGAUCACAAUAGGGCAUCUGUUUUGCAGCUUCCCCCUGACUAUGAGGUUUUCGUGAAACAAUUCUCUGCUCACGCCGAGUGAGAAAAGGAAGCUUCCAGUAAUGAUGUCUGCAUGCAAAUAAAAUGGCUAGUGUCAGGUGCACUCGUUGUA